CCAGGCUAACAAAAACAAAGAUGUGCUUCCUUGUUCCUUGAACAUGUUUUUGUAAGUGACACUGUUGUUAAGAAUUGGAAAUAGACAGGAGUUAAAAUGGGGGGGAACGGGGAGGAACGCAGUUCCGCCACCUCAGAUAAAUUAAUAAUAAGUAUAUUCUUUCAUAUCAACAAUAUAGUGCAAUGAUAUUGUUAAAAUAAAUAGUGAGUUAAUUUUUCACAUGUACAGAGGUGAAGCUAGCAAUUCUUGUCCAAAAAGUAUUGCUACACCACGAUACUCAAUAUGUUGUCCAACGGUGAGUCAUUUUUCCCCGUUGCACUGACUCUGGAUUUUAGGGUUCCCUCACCUGCCAAAUCCGACUUUAACCACUGGUAAUAGACCUACAUACUUCAAAAUAGCAGCACACACAAACACUGGAUAGCCCUGAAUGAGCAGACACCUAAUUUCUUCCUUGUUGGUGUGAUUGAUUGAUUGUUUGCCUCUUCUUGUUUACCUAUGACUCCCAAUGUGUUUUUUCUAAAUAUUUGUUUGCAUCAUUAUUUGGUUCACGCUCCAGCCUUUGCCUUCUACACGCUCACAAUAUUAAGAGGGUCCUCAUACUCUCUUAAAAACACUAUAUUAGAGGCUGCAACCUUACAGGUUAGAUAGAAUUUUUAUGACGUGAACUAAGCUUUACGACUCACGUAGGCUACAUUCCCCUUGGGGAUCA